rnacentral:rRNA from 1 species
AUGGCUGAUGGAUUCUACCUCAUGCAUCACCUGCUCGAGUACAGAAGGGAUAAUCAACGCCUUCGCAUGUCACCUACUACCAAUGAUGUUGAGAUUGUCAGCUGGGCCACAAGCAUAGGAAGGACACCGGAUCAUCGAAUCAGAGCUGGGUUUUAUCACGUACAGUGUAAACUUGCCCAAGUAGUUAUGAAGCAGGUCCUUGAACCAAUAGCGAUGUUCUACCAUGGGCCAAUCACGCGGGAAUAUGUCCGAGCACAGCUACUCGCCCAGUGUCUAGACCUGAAGCCUUUCAAGAAGCUCGGGCGCUUCCUCACUGACUAUGAAGAUUGGACCGCCAACAUGGAGGACUGA